rnacentral:rRNA from 1 species
CGGACGGGUGAGUAACACGUGGAUAACCUACCUAUAAGACUGGGAUAACUUCGGGAAACCGGAGCUAAUACCGGAUAAUAUAUUGAACCGCAUGGUUCAAUGGUGAAAGACGGUUUUGCUGUCACUUAUAGAUGGAUCCGCGCCGCAUUAGCUAGUUGGUAAGGUAACGGCUUACCAAGGCAACGAUGCGUAGCCGACCUGAGAGGGUGAUCGGCCACACUGGAACUGAGACACGGUCCAGACUCCUACGGGAGGCAGCAGAC